rnacentral:rRNA from 1 species
AAAAGCCUCUAAGCAUCAGGUAACAUCAAAUCGUACCCCAAACCGACACAGGUGGUCAGGUAGAGAAUACCAAGGCGCUUGAGAGAACUCGGGUGAAGGAACUAGGCAAAAUGGUGCCGUAACUUCGGGAGAAGGCACGCUGAUAUGUAGGUGAAGCGACUUGCUCGUGGAGCUGAAAUCAGUCGAAGAUACCAGCUGGCUGCAACUGUUUAUUAAAAACACAGCACUGUGCAAACACGAAAGUGGACGUAUACGGUGUGACGCCUGCCCGGUGCCGGAAGGUUAAUUGAUGGGGUCAGCGCAAGCGAAGCUCUUGAUCGAAGCCCCGGUAAACGGCGGCCGUAACUAUAACGGUCCUAAGGUAGCGAAAUUCCUUGUCGGGUAAGUUCCGACCUGCACGAAUGGCGUAAUGAUGGCCAGGCUGUCUCCACCCGAGACUCAGUGAAAUUGAACUCGCUGUGAAGAUGCAGUGUACCCGCGGCAAGACGGAAAGACCCCGUGAACCUUUACUAUAGCUUGACACUGAACAUUGAGCCUUGAUGUGUAGGAUAGGUGGGAGGCUUGGAAGUGUGGACGCCAGUCUGCAUGGAGCCGACCUUGAAAUACCACCCUUUAAUGUUUGAUGUUCUAACGUUGACCCGUAAUCCGGGUUGCGGACAGUGUCUGGUGGGUAGUUUGACUGGGGCGGUCUCCUCCUAAAGAGUAACGGAGGAGCACGAAGGUUGGCUAAUCCUGGUCGGACAUCAGGAGGUUAGUGCAAUGGCAUAAGCCAGCUUGACUGCGAGCGUGACGGCGCGAGCAGGUGCGAAAGCAGGUCAUAGUGAUCCGGUGGUUCUGAAUGGAAGGGCCAUCGCUCAACGGAUAAAAGGUACUCCGGGGAUAACAGGCUGAUACCGCCCAAGAGUUCAUAUCGACGGCGGUGUUUGGCACCUCGAUGUCGGCUCAUCACAUCCUGGGGCUGAAGUAGGUCCCAAGGGUAUGGCUGUUCGCCAUUUAAAGUGGUACGCGAGCUGGGUUUAGAACGUCGUGAGACAGUUCGGUCCCUAUCUGCCGUGGGCGCUGGAGAACUGAGGGGGGCUGCUCCUAGUACGAGAGGACCGGAGUGGACGCAUCACUGGUGUUCGGGUUGUCAUGCCAAUGGCACUGCCCGGUAGCUAAAUGCGGAAGAGAUAAGUGCUGAAAGCAUCUAAGCACGAAACUUGCCCCGAGAUGAGUUCUCCCUGACUCCUUGAGAGUCCUGAAGGAACGUUGAAGACGACGACGUUGAUAGGCCGGGUGUGUAAGCGCAGCGAUGCGUUGAGCUAACCGGUACUAAUGAACCGUGAGGCUUAACCUUACAACGCCGAAG